UAUGGGAUGGAGGCCGGUUCUGGGAAAUCUGAUUGGACCAUUCUAUUAGUUAUGAUUUAUCAUGAAUUUUCAUGAAUUUUAAUUGAUUUUUGGAGCAGGUUUGCUUGGGGUCGAAAUUGCACCUGAGGGCAUAUUGGGGUCAGAUCCUUGUGUUAGGAUAUCUGAUCAUAUGUUUCUGUGCUGGAACAUAUUAUCACUUAUGAUAUUGAUCAUAAGGAAUUGUUGGUCAUCAAUCUUGGUGUUGGUAAGGUAUGGGCAAUGCAUUGGCUGUGAGCCAGGAAGAAGAGUACAGCUAAGUACUUGGUGGCGUGGACCAAAGUACUAAGCUUGGGUGUUAUUAUUCAAGGCAGGCCGUGUGUGAUCUGAUCAUGGGCAAGGAUGGACGACCUGAUCCUUGGAUGAUGGAUCAAGGUGUCUGAUCUGAUUGAUCAAAGGAUGGACCGGUGGUAAGAGCAACACUAAUCAGGUUCAGUGGGACAUGGUUCCAUGACUGAUUAUGAAGUAUGAAGACUCAUCAGUUCUGAGUCAUGUGGGGUGGUUGGUUGAUUGACUCAGGAUCUGAUGGGCAUUAUUAUUCUUUGUGAGGACUUGAUCUGGUUAGUCCAUGAGAGGACAUGGUAUGAUUAGUCCGUGAGAGGACUUGGUAUUAUAUUCUACAAAGCGUACGGGUAUUGGAUGAUGCAUGGGCUAAGAAGGGCCAGAUGCAUAUCAGUUACUAUUGAAUGACUAAGUACCCAAGGGAAGAGUUUAUGCAGGUAUAAGGGAGUUGGACGAGUGGACGGGGAGCUGGGCAAAGCUACCUCGCACCUCGAUCAGCUGGAACGGAGCAGCAAACCUCAAGUGAAGUGGUUCAGCUCAACUAUCUGGGUGAGCUAGCUAAGACAGCUAAGUCAGCUGGGACAAUGAGCUAACAAGCACCGGGAUUGUGGCAAAGGUAUGAUCUGUCAAUGUU
rnacentral:lncRNA from 1 species